CUAUUAAUGGAAUAUAAAAAAUAAUCACAUAUUUUUAAAAAGGGGAUAGUAUUUCCCUAACAAACGCUCAAAUACAAAUAAGAAGGAAGAUAUGAAAAUAUUUUUUUACUUCUUUUUCUAUUACAUUAAUUUACACUAAUUCAGUUUUAUGUCCAGAAGAUUUUUAUGAUCGCGCGCAAUAUAAUUGGUAGAAUUACUGAUUGCUCCGUAAUAGAUCUUCAAAUAUUUUUCAGAGCACACUAGCUCUAAUUGAUUAUCGAUUAUCACGCGCGAAACUAGUUUUCAAAUUUUAUGAAGUAAAUAAUUUGUAUGCGAAAUGACUCAUUUCGCAUACAAUAAAUGCGCGUGUUAAAGUCCUUUAUUUUUUAUUUUUUUAAUAUAUAUUUUUUUAUAAAAAUUCCUUUUUGAAAUUAGAAUCAGUGCUUCGUGCAAAAGGAUUUAGUCUCUCCAAUAUUAAAGAAUAUAAGUAUCUUGAAUAUCGUGCUUAUUAUUAACACUACUUUUUCUAAGAGCAAGUUAAGAAGAAGUAAUUUAUGUCUUGUUACAGACUUAUUAUCUGAAUAUCUACUUCUUAUUAUCUGAGAGAAUCUAGCAAUGCUUCAAUAUUUAAAAGCAUGGUCGACAUACUCUACUUCUUCCUAUCUUCUGGUGGGAAUCUAGCUAUGCUCCAGCAGCCGAAAGUGGAUAAAUUGUAAUAUUCUGCAUUUUGUUAAAGAUGUUUCACACCCUUCUGUGCUUUUUCCUAUUCUCUGGGGAGGAUCUAAUGGUGCUUCAGAAGUCAAAAUUCCGUCGUCCUCGUCGAAUUUGAUGGUCCAUGCUUGAUAACGACCAUCGUGAUGAUUUCUUCUGGGCUACUGCAAUAUUGAUGGUAAUAUCCUCGGUGUUCAAUGGAUCUCACUCACGUGUCCAGAUGCUAUUUGAGUGGGAGAAAGACCAUAGGUACGAUGAUCAUAUAUCGAAUAAUUUGCUAGGCCGAUGAUGUGUUAGUGUAUCGUGCAGGACAUAUUUUCCACAUGUAUAUCUGUUAGGUUAGAUUAUGGAAUUGUGUCAUUUUGACUUUUAAUUCAUUUACUAUAAUUUCAACCAUAAAAUAAGAUUCAUACAAAUAAUAAUCUAAUUGCAAUGUGCAAUAACAGUAUCAGAUCCAAUAUUAAAUAACCAGAUUACAGUUAGCGAUAUUAUUAAUCGUAUUAUUAUAUUUUAUAUCAUUUGUGUCAGUAAUAUAAUUUUCUUAAGAAUAUGUAUGAAUACUUAGAAUUAAAGUAAAGGUUUACACGGGUCUUAUCAUAUUCCUUGCAAUGUUUACUAGCCAUCGUCAGUCGAUUACAGGAAAUAGUACGUGCAUUAGAGUGUGCAAGUUGUUUGUUAAACUCGACGACUGUCGGAGGCGUCUUGGAACGUCUCUUUAAUGAAAAUCCUUAUGCCCGGGCUAUGUGUGACAACUAUAGAACGAGUGUAUUGCUGUGUCUGUCUCUUGUCAUUUUGUUAAAAAUAGGACUGAAUGGGAUACAUAGCAUACUUUCUGGUAUGAGUGUUAAAUCAUAAUUAGGAAGGACCGGGCAGCCGUAGUCUUUCUUCUAGGCAUGCUUUCGCGUGUCCAACCAGUCCCAGGAAAUUUGAAGGUGAAGCUGGAAUGAAUGGUGCAUGCCACUCGUAUCUGGCUUUGCCCAUCGAUUCUUCGACUUUUGCGAUCGUGGUCGUGAGUAGGAUUCCAAACUAAUGUUUAUUUAUUGCGCGAGCGUGCAUGUGCGAACAUACAGCGAUCAUUAUGAUCGUUGCUCGAUCAUGUGUCUUUGAAUCAGUUUUCACAAUUUAUAUUUUUAUUCCUACUUUAUAAAUUAUUUUUUGUUUCGCAAUCAGAAAGCUUCGAACUAGAUUUAAGUUUCAGCAGGCAUUGCACCCGAAGAAAAAAGAGGCUACGACCCAAAGAGACCCGAAAAAUUUUCCAUAGAGGAGGAUUCUGGAUCAUGCAAAGCAUGGAAAGCCAUUCUCAUUACUAUUUUGUUACUAUGCUCGUUUUUAAUAUCUGCAGUUGUAGUAUUUUUCUUCUUUUUUGGAGGAGGGGGGGCAAUGUAUAUGUCUCUCUUUGUUUUUAUAUUUCUAUUUUUUUUAUUAGUGUUGUGAAAUAUGAUAAAGUGUGGAUAAAGACACAUACAUAUGUGUAUCUCAUACUAUAUCCAUUUACCUUAUUGUAUUUAGAUUCUUAGAUAGAUAAAAACCUUAAACAAAUCAUUAGAUUUUUGUAAGGAUACGGUGUAUAACAUUUUCAGAUCUGUGAUAGGACCUAUACAAUAUUUUAAGUUGACAGAGAUCCAUGGUAUUUCAGGAUAUACAGAAAGGUAGUCAAGCUUAGAAGGUAUAUUAAUCCCACACGACACUCCUUUCCUUUUUUCUUGUUAUAAUUAGAUACUUAUAUAUAUAUAUAAGACAGUUCGGAUUUAUUGUAAAACAAGGAUAAAUUUAUGGUUAGGAAGGAUGCUUUUGAGUUAGAAGGCUAGUUAUUUUAUUGGUAGAUGAGAAUAAAUUUCAAAUUAAAAAUUGAGAUAGGUAUUGUUUUGCUACAGAGUUGCUUAAUAGUUACUUUUUAGUGGAGACCUUAUAUGAUAUGUAUAUUGUUAGGGAGGGAUAAAUUUACAGUUAGAAAAUCUGUUUCUGAGUUAAGCAGUUAAUGAGUAGUUAUUUUUUAGUGAAGAUUUUAUACGAUAUGCGACACGAUAACUACUAUUACUAUCUACUAAAUACUAUAAUUAAUUGUGUAUUUAUUUAUGAUAUAUUAAUAGAUAAGUGCAUGUGUAAUUACUGAUGGUUAGCAUAUGUAGUUAGUAACUAAGUAAUGGAGUAAUGUAAUAAUGUAAUAAAGUAGUUAAUAAAUAUAUAAAUCAUUUGUAA